GACGAACGCUGGCGGCGUGCCUAACACAUGCAAGUCGAGCGAGUGAAUCUCCUUCGGGAGUGAAGCUAGCGGCGGACGGGUGAGUAACAAGUGGGCAACCUGCCUCAUAAAGGGGAAUAGCCUUUCGAAAGGAAGAUUAAUACCGCAUAAGAAUGUAGCUUCGCAUGAAGUAGGAAUUAAAGGAGCAAUCCGCUAUGAGAUGGGCCCGCGGCGCAUUAGCUAGUUGGUGAGGUAACGGCUCACCAAGGCGACGAUGCGUGGCCGACCUGAGAGGGUGAUCGGCCACAUUGGGACUGAGACACGGCCCAGACUCCUACGGGAGGCAGCAGUGGGGAAUAUUGCACAAUGGGGGAAACCCUGAUGCAGCAACGCCGCGUGAGUGAUGACGGCCUUCGGGUUGUAAAGCUCUGUCUUCAGGGACGAUAAUGACGGUACCUGAGGAGGAAGCCACGGCUAACUACGUGCCAGCAGCCGCCGUAA
rnacentral:rRNA from 1 species